AUGGUCUGUGGAAAGUCUCCUCUGUUGUUGAACUUGUCCAGUUGUGAGUGCAGCCAUGUACCAGGCAGCCCAAGCCUAACAUAAAAUAAAUUCCCAGGAGAAGUCUUUCCUGGGUUUUGAAUUUGCAGUAAUAGGUGUGAGAAUUCUAGCAGCAGUUUGUUGAUGUGAAAUUAGAAAUGAAAGCUAAA
ensembl:scaRNA